UUGCAGUUAAAAAGCUCGUAGUUGGAUUUCUGCGGGGGCGGGGCGGCCGACCUCAACUCGAGGUUCGAGCUAGCACUUCCCCUGCAUCCUGCCGCGAACCGUGCUACCAUUAGUUUGGUGGCGCUGGGGAUCGGCUCGUUUACUUUGAGAAAAAUAGAGUGUUCAAAGCAGGCCACACGCCUUGAAUAAGUUAGCAUGGAAUAAUGAUAAAGGACUUCGGUUCUAUUUUGUUGGUGUUCGGGACUGAAGUAAUGAUUGAUAGGGACAGUUGGGGCGGUCAGUAUUCCAAGGCGAGAGGUGAAAUUCUUAGACCUUCGGAAGACUAACAGCUGCGAAAGCGUUCCGCAAGGAUGUUCCCUUUGAUCAAGAACGAAAGUUGGGGGAUCGAAGACGAUCAGAUACCGUCGUAGUCUCAACCAUAAACUAUACCAGCUAGGGAUCGGCCAACGUUUACUUAUAUCGACUUGGUCGGCACCUUAUGAGAAAAUCAAAGCAUCUGGGGUUCCGGGGGGAAGUAUGGUCGCAAGGCUGAAACUUAAAAGGAAUUGACGGAAGGGCACCC
rnacentral:rRNA from 1 species